ACGGUGGUGACAAACAGGAUGCGCCCAGCGGGAUUGUCACCUGCUUGGCGUGAUGGGAGCAUGGGCACAGCCCAGGGUGUGGUUUUGGGCACCCACAGGGACAGCGAUGCUGUCAGCAGCAGCCCUGGCACCUUUCCUGCCCUGUGCAGAGCUGGGGGACUAGGGUGGGCAUAGUGGGGGGGCCACAUGUCUCCUGCAUUGCCUGCUCACCGAGACUUGACUUCAAUAAAGCCCCAGCUCCCAAAUCUGUGCAACCAGUGAAGAGUCACCUCCACUCAGAGCUCAGAAGAGCACUUGGAAACACAACCAGGAAAUGGAAGGGACUUAAGCAGGUCCAAAUCUGGGCUGUGGCUGGCGAUCUCCUGAUAUGGGAGGAGGACAAUGCUGGAUGCCUAGCAGACCAACAGGUGCCCACAAAGCCAAGGCUCCUGCAGCCCAGACCAGCCUGGGGACACAGAAGGCAGAAGCUACUUGGAAAGGAGACAACUGAUACAAGCAAAGAGAGCUGAAGGACCAAGAUCGGCUGCAGGACAACAGAGCUGAGGAAGGCAAGCAGCAAGCAACCUUUGGAAGUGGCUGAUGGCAACCAAGGCCAAGCAAGACAGCAGUGCAGACUUGCUCAUGGCUCAGGAAACACAACUUGGGGCCAGAAGGGCUCCAACAGCUGCCAGAAGGGAUGCUGUAGGGAAGAGAUGAGACUAAUCUACAAAAGCGCAAUGCUGUCAAGACACCUGCGAAACCAUGCUGGUUGGAGAGGACCACCCCUGUAAAACAUCUAUAAAAUGUCCAUAACAUGUACAUUGAGUUUGUUUAGUUCAUGACUUGGCCUCUGUCUGUUAUGGUGUUGACUCAGGA